AACUGAAUAGCUAAUAUGUAUUUUAUUGGGUUAUUUGUUCUUGUGUAACAUCCUAAUAAUUUUCAGAUUAUGCACAAGUCAUAACAUGAAUUUAUUAAUAAAUUUAAUUGUCCACUGACUUUAACCUUUUAACAAAAAAAUAAUACAUCAGUGUAACUAACAGUUUGUUUUCAAAUAAAAUAAUUGAAAUCAUGGGCCAUGAAUGAUGAUUUUAGUGAGACCCUUAUAAGAUAAUACAAGGGCUGGUGUACAAGCAUCUUGCGUUAACGCAGGAUCCGGGGAAGGGCCGCACCCUUAUAAGAUAAUGACAAAUAAAAAUAAAGUAAUCACUCAAGACUAACAUGAAUUCUCACUCUUCUUUUAUGAAUAAUUCACCAUUCACAAAAGUUUAUUCAUAGGACUUUUACAUAUAGUUGAAUGGAAGAACACUAAAAUUCAAGACUUAUUUCUAAUAACUCUGAUCUUUUCCACACCCUCUCCAAUGUCUGGCUGCUCACCAAACUACGCAAAACUCCUAAUAGUAGAUGCCUACAAGUGGAAACUUCGGAAGCCGAAUCUCAGUUGGAUGUCCCUUAUGACAGAUCCUCAUCCUCCUCAUGAUCUGGUUGGACUACAUUGAGUUGCUGGAAGUGCACUGGACUGCCAUUUUGUCCCAGGACAUAUGUACUUUUUUGGGUAAAAAUCUCAAUGUUGGUGCUAGAUCAAGACUCUGCUCCAAUUGACCCAUGAGGAAACAUCUAUGUCCACACUGCUUAGUGGGACAGAAUGGUACCCAAGUGGACUUCAAGCCACUCAACAUGGUUCAACUAAGCCACAGAUUGUGGAAGAGGAAUUGUCAAAAGGGUCCUAUGAUCCACUAGCCAACUGGAAGUGGUUUCUGAAAUCUCCACUUUUUUUGAGUUGUCUGCUGUAACUGUAAUGAGUAGUGGGAGCUCAGUGAGCUGCCGCAGACAUGAGAGAGGGUGUAGAAGUUGUCAUUGUUAUCAGAAAUAGCCUUGAAUAUUCUUGUAAAUGAGUAUUUAUGUUAGUCUUGAGUGAUUACUUUAUGCAUGUUUGUUAUC